rnacentral:rRNA from 1 species
GACGAACGCUGGCGGCGUGCUUAACACAUGCAAGUCGAACGGUGAAGCGCCUUCCUUUUUGGUGGGUGUGGAUGAGUGGCGAACGGGUGAGUAACACGUGAGUAACCUGCCCCCUUCUUCUGGAUAACCGCAUGAAAGUGUGGCUAAUACGGGAUAUUCUGGGUCUGUCGCAUGAUGGGUCUGGGAAAGAUAUUGUUUCGGUGGGGGAUGGGCUCGCGGCCUAUCAGCUUGUUGGUGGGGUGAUGGCCUACCAAGGCGGUGACGGGUAGCCGGCCUGAGAGGGUGGACGGUCACACUGGGACUGAGACACGGCCCAGACUCCUACAGGAGGCAGCAGUGAGGAAUAUUGCACAAUGGGCGCAAGCCUGAUGCAGCGACGCCGCGUGAGGGAUGGAGGCCUUCGGGUUGUGAACCUCUUUCGCCAGUGAAGCAGGCCUGCCUCGUUUGUGGGUGGGUUGACGGUAGCUGGAUAAGAAGCGCCGGCUAACUACGUG